rnacentral:rRNA from 1 species
AUGCAUGGCGCGAUGGGCAUGCAGGUGAGGGUGUACACGCCGAAGCGGCUGUUCCAGCAGAGUCCGCCCUGGUCGUCCGUCGCCUUUUCCUUUGCCAGAUGCAUUGGUAGAUCGGACGCCGCUGCCUUAGGGUGGCGCAUUGACGCCGUCGCCGGGAACGGAGGUGGGUGCUCUCUUCUCGACUUACUCUGUUCCGCCGGGGUCUUGAUUCUCUCUGCGCUCUUGGCUUCUCCUCCUAGGUGA